rnacentral:rRNA from 1 species
ACGCUCGACACCUACGGGAGCAGCAGUGAGGAAUAUUGGUCAAUGGGCGCUAGCCUGAACCAGCCAAGUAGCGUGAAGGAUGAAGGCUCUAUGGGUCGUAAACUUCUUUUAUAUAAGAAUAAAGUGCAGUAUGUAUACUGUUUUGUAUGUAUUAUAUGAAUAAGGAUCGGCUAACUCCGUGCCAGCAGCAGCGUAAUCUGGAGGCGGGUCGUGGACGAAGGC